AUUGAACGCUGGCGGCAGGCCUAACACAUGCAAGUCGAGCGAGCGGCGGACGGGUGAGUAAUGUAUAGGUACUGCCCGAUAGAGGAGGAGAACUACUGGAAACGGUAGCUAAUACCGCAUACUAUCGGAAAACCCAUAUGGGAUUAGCUAGUAGGUGAGGUAAGGGCUCACCUAGGUGACGAUACCUAGCUGGUCGGAGAGGAAGAGCAGCCACACUGGGACUGAGACACGGCCCAGACUCCUACGGAGGCAGCAGUGGUGAAUAUUGCACAAGGGGCGCAAGCCUGAUGCAGCCAUGCCGCGUGUAUGAAGAAGGCCCUAGGGUUGUAAAGUACUUUCAGUCGGGAGGCGUUACCGACAGAAGAAGCACCGGCUAACUCCGUGCCAGCCGCCGCGGUAAUUC
rnacentral:rRNA from 1 species